rnacentral:rRNA from 1 species
CAGCCGCCGCGGUAAUACGUAGGGUGCAAGCGUUAAUCGGAAUUACUGGGCGUAAAGCGUGCGCAGGCGGUUAUAUAAGACAGAUGUGAAAUCCCCGGGCUCAACCUGGGAACUGCAUUUGUGACUGUAUAGCUAGAGUACGGCAGAGGGGGAUGGAAUUCCGCGUGUAGCAGUGAAAUGCGUAGAUAUGCGGAGGAACACCGAUGGCGAAGGCAAUCCCCUGGGCCUGUACUGACGCUCAUGCACGAAAGCGUGGGGAGCAAACAGGAUUAGAUACCCGUGUAGUCCCUGUCUCUUAACA